rfam:Haemonchus contortus, ISE/inbred ISE, WGS project CAVP01000000 data, contig: Hcontortus_contig_pathogens_Hcontortus_scaffold_3218
AGCACAAACUUGAAGUAGAAUAGUUGGGUAUGGUCAGCUGAUCCUACUGAUCUACUCUGCUUCAAGUUUGUGCUC